GAUGAACGCUGGCGGCGUGCCUAAUACAUGCAAGUCGAGCGAACAGACGAGGAGCUUGCUCCUUUGACGUUAGCGGCGGACGGGUGAGUAACACGUGGGUAACCUACCUAUAAGACUGGGAUAACUUCGGGAAACCGGAGCUAAUACCGGAUAAUAUUUCGAACCGCAUGGUUCGAUAGUGAAAGAUGGCUUUGCUAUCACUUAUAGAUGGACCUGCGCCGUAUUAGCUAGUUGGUAAGGUAACGGCUUACCAAGGCAACGAUACGUAGCCGACCUGAGAGGGUGAUCGGCCACACUGGAACUGAGACACGGUCCAGACUCCUACGGGAGGCAGCAGUAGGGAAUAUUCCGCAAUGGGCGAAAGCCUGACGGAGCAACGCCGCGUGAGUGAUGAAGGUCUUCGGAUCGUAAAACUCUGUUAUUAGGGAAGAACAAAAGUGUAAGUAACUGUGCACGUCUUGACGGUACCUAAUCAGAAAGCCACGGCUAACUACGUG
rnacentral:rRNA from 1 species